GCAAGUCGAGCGGACAGAAGGGAGCUUGCUCCCGGAUGUUACGGCGGACGGUGAGUAGACGUGUUUGCCCUGCCUGUAAGACUGUUUUAACUCCGGGAUGCCGGACCUAAAUUCGGAUAGUUCCUUGCUCCGCAUGGUUCAAGUAUGAACUGCGAUCUGACUGACAAUGCUUAUUGACCCUCGGCGCACUUUGAGUUGGUGGGCCCUGGGUCCCGACCGGGGCAACGCGUUGGCGAUCUGGGAGGGUCAGGGAACGAUGAUCUACCGACAUCCCCCCCUUCCUCCGGGGGGGGCAGCCUAGGGAAUCUUCCGCACUGGACGAAAGUCUGACGGAGCAACCCCGCGUGACUGAUGAUGGUUUUCAGAUCAUAAAGCACUGUUGCGAGGGAAGAACAAGUGCAAGAGUAACUGGUCGCUUUUUGACCGAACCUAAACCGAUAGCCACGGCUAUGUACGAGCCAGCAGCCG
rnacentral:rRNA from 1 species